ACGGCCAUACCAUGCUGAAUAUACCGGUUCUCGUUAGAUCACCGAAGUCAAGCAUCAUUGGGCACGGUCAGUACUUGGGUGGGUGACCACCUGGGAACACCGUGUGCC
rnacentral:rRNA from 1 species